rnacentral:pre_miRNA from 1 species
UCUUAUGGAUGAGUAGACAAAGUGGUUUCUGGAGAUGGAAUCUACUCCUGGUUAAGAUGCUGUGAC